GUGAGGAAUAUUGGUCAAUGGGCGCAAGCCUGAACCAGCCAUGCCGCGUGCAGGAAGACGGUCCUAUGGAUUGUAAACUGCUUUUAUUUGGGAAUAAACUCCGGUACGUGUACCGGCCUGAAGGUACCAAAUGAAUAAGCACCGGCUAACUCCGCGCCAGCAGCCGCGGUAAUACGGAGGGUGCAAGCGUUAUCCGGAAUCAUUGGGUUUAAAGGGUCCGCAGGCGGUCUUAUAAGUCAGUGGUGAAAGCCUACAGCUCAACUGUAGAACUGCCAUUGAUACUGUAGGACUUGAAUUCGAUCGAAGUGGGCGGAAUGUGACAUGUAGCGGUGAAAUGCUUAGAUAUGUCACAGAACACCGAUAGCGAAGGCAGCUCACUAGGUCUGGAUUGACGCUCAGGGACGAAAGCGUGGGGAGCAAACAGGAUUAGAAACCCGAGUAGUCC
rnacentral:rRNA from 1 species